GAUGAACGCUGGCGGCGUGCUUAACACAUGCAAGUCGAACGAGAAGUGAAGACGGAAACCUUCGGGCGGAAGGCUUUAUUUCGAGUGGCGGACGGGUGAGUAACGCGUGGGUAACCUGCCUCAUACAGGGGGAUAACAGUUGGAAACGACUGUUAAUACCGCAUAAGACCACAGCACCGCAUGGUGCGGGGGUAAAAACUCCGGUGGUAUGAGAUGGACCCGCGUUCGAUUAGCCAGUUGGCGGGGUAACGGCCCACCAAAGCGACGAUCGAUAGCCGAGAGGAGAGGAUGACCGGUCACAUUGGGAAUGAGACACGGCCCAAAAUCCUACGGGAGGCAGCAGUGGGGAAUAUUGCACAAGGGGGGAAACCCUGAUGCAGCGACGCCGCGUGAGUGAAGAAGUAUUUCGGUAUGUAAAGCUCUAUCAGCAGGGAAGAAAAUGACGGUACCUGAGUAAGAAGCCCCGGCUAACUACGUG
rnacentral:rRNA from 1 species